rnacentral:rRNA from 1 species
AUGAACGCUAGCUACAGGCUUAACACAUGCAAGUCGAGGGGCAGCAUGGUCUUAGCUUGCUAAGGCCGAUGGCGACCGGCGCACGGGUGAGUAACACGUAUCCAACCUGCCGUCUACUCUUGGACAGCCUUCUGAAAGGAAGAUUAAUACAAGAUGGCAUCAUGAGUCCGCAUGUUCACAUGAUUAAAGGUAUUCCGGUAGACGAUGGGGAUGCGUUCCAUUAGAUAGUAGGCGGGGUAACGGCCCACCUAGUCUUCGAUGGAUAGGGGUUCUGAGAGGAAGGUCCCCCACAUUGGAACUGAGACACGGUCCAAACUCCUACGGGAGGCAGCAGUGAGGAAUAUUGGUCAAUGGGCGAGAGCCUGAACCAGCCAAGUAGCGUGAAGGAUGACUGCCCUAUGGGUUGUAAACUUCUUUUAUAAAGGAAUAAAGUCGGGUAUGGAUACCCGUUUGCAUGUACUUUAUGAAUAAGGAUCGGCUAACUCCGUGCCAGCAGCCGCGGUAAUACGGAGGAUCCGAGCGUUAUCCGGAUUUAUUGGGUUUAAAGGGAGCGUAGAUGGAUGUUUAAGUCAGUUGUGAAAGUUUGCGGCUCAACCGUAAAAUUGCAGUUGAUACUGGAUAUCUUGAGUGCAGUUGAGGCAGGCGGAAUUCGUGGUGUAGCGGUGAAAUGCUUAGAUAUCACGAAGAACUCCGAUUGCGAAGGCAGCCUGCUAAGCUGCAACUGACAUUGAGGCUCGAAAGUGUGGGUAUCAAACAGGAUUAGAUACCCUGGUAGUCCACGCCGUAAACGAUGAAUACUAGGUGUCGGGGCCCACAGGGCUUCGGUGCCGUAGCAAACGCAUUAAGUAUUCCACCUGGGGAGUACGCCGGCAACGGUGAAACUCAAAGGAAUUGACGGGGGCCCGCACAAGCGGAGGAACAUGUGGUUUAAUUCGAUGAUACGCGAGGAACCUUACCCGGGCUUAAAUUGCAGAUGAAUUACGGUGAAAGCCGUAAGCCGCAAGGCAUCUGUGAAGGUGCUGCAUGGUUGUCGUCAGCUCGUGCCGUGAGGUGUCGGCUUAAGUGCCAUAACGAGCGCAACCCUUGUUGUCAGUUACUAACAGGUUCCGCUGAGGACUCUGACAAGACUGCCAUCGUAAGAUGUGAGGAAGGUGGGGAUGACGUCAAAUCAGCACGGCCCUUACGUCCGGGGCUACACACGUGUUACAAUGGGGGGUACAGAGGGCCGCUACCACGCGAGUGGAUGCCAAUCCCCAAAACCUCUCUCAGUUCGGACUGGAGUCUGCAACCCGACUCCACGAAGCUGGAUUCGCUAGUAAUCGCGCAUCAGCCACGGCGCGGUGAAUACGUUCCCGGGCCUUGUACACACCGCCCGUCAAGCCAUGGGAGCCGGGGGUACCUGAAGUGCGUAACCGCGAGGAGCGCCCUAGGGUAAAACUGGUGACUGGGGCU